UAUUUUCAUGCUAUUUUUAUGAUUGCGUGAAGACAAUAAUUAUUUGAAAUGUCUUAAAAAGGAAACGUAACUAUAUUAGAAAUACAAUUAUCUCACCAAAUAUUGAUGAAAAUAUAUGUCAAGGGCACCCCGCAUUAUCUCCUACUUUCCAUCAAAUUACCAGUUACUUUUUUCUUGGUUUCCCAUCCGUUAUCCGGUACCUGCAUUGAAGCCCCGACUAAUCUAGAUAGCGUGUUGCAGGGCCCAUUAAGGUGGCAGCGCUCCCAACAAAGUUUUCUUCAUACUCAUAGUCGAACCCUCGACCUUUGAUUAAGGGUGGAGCAGCCCCAUCCACUGCACCAUAACCCAUGUUGGUAAAUACUUUUACUAUUUACUUCCUCCAUUGAGAAUUUCUCACUUAUUUUUUAAUUAAAUUUUUACUUUUACUUAUCAUUAUAAAUAUACUAAAAAAGAAUAAUUUGAUUUCUUAUAUUUUCUCCAUUUGAAUUUAUUUGUUAUAUUUUCUUUUUAGUAUGGUUUUUUGAAAAAUGUCUCUUUUCUUUUUUUUUUUUGACAACUCUUUAGGUCUAACUUUUCGAGUGACAUGAUUAAGACCAGGGGCCGCUCAACGAGAUUGAUGCCUAAAGCCAACUUUAAUUUUAACAAGGGACCUUAUUUCUUUUAAAAAAAUAUAUAAUAUAUACUUUUAUUAAGUAGUAAUUUUUUUUAGUUAAAAUUAUUAAUAAUCUUCUUAUAAGACAUUAUUGAUCUUAACCUUAGACAAUAGAAUAUGAUUUAAGAUGUUGAUAACUAUUAAAAUUAUUUUUUUGAUCAUUCAGUAUACUUGUUGCAAUGCUUGAAAUCUGAGGAGGAAAAAAGUAAAAAUCAAUGUCCUUAGCUGAAGGUCUUGAGUUCGAAUCUCCAAAUGUAAAAACAAUCUUGCUAGGAAGAAUUUCGUUCUUCAAUCGAUCUUGUAUGACGCAAAUUUAAAUUAAUUAAAAAUUUUAAUACAAAAAUCAAACGCCAAAUGAAAAAAGAAAAAAUUACAUAGACUAGCAACCUUAAGACAUUAAUUACAAGUAGUAGCAGUAGUUUAUCAAAAUUACAACUACUAGCAAAAGUAGCAAUAUUUUACCUCUUUUUUUAACUGGCGCGUGUAUUCCACCCAAUUAAUUUCACUUUACUAUUUUCACGCUACUUUAUCUCUUUUAACCCUACUUUCACCCCACUCUAAAUAUUUUCUAUUCCCUUCAAUAUCAAUCUUCCGCUAUUUUUUCUUCAAAAUCCGUAGUUUUCUCUCUAAAGUUUGAUAAUUCUUCGUUCCAAUUAUAAAGGUAAGUUGAUUUUUACAGUUAAUGCAUGUUAUAUUUUUCAUAUAAUUUUUUUUUCGUCAUUAUUUUUGUAUUUUUUCUGCGUUUUCAAUUUGGGGUUUAGGGUUUUGGGGUUUAAUUUUUGUGUGUUGAAUUUUUUUUUAUUUUUUCUAUAAUGGCAAAACAUACGAUAUAUGAAUUUUGAUGAAAUACCAUCUUUUUGUUUUCUUUUACCUACACAGUAGUAGUAGUUUAUUCAGAUCUCAAGAUUUUAUUUUUCUUUUACCUACACAAAAUUAUUUAUUUCUCUUUUUAUUUUGGGAUAUGAAAUUUACAUGAAAGUGAUUUUUUGAAUUUUUUUUUUCGUGUUGUAUUUUUUGGAUUUUCGCGAUAAUAACCGAACAUGCAAAUAGUAAUAGUUAAGUUAGAGGUAUUCAAUCGUUGAAUUUAGUUUUCGAUGAAAUUUCUUCGUUUAAUCUUGAUGUAACACAAGAUGAAGAUGUUAACUUGUGUUCUACUAGCAUUGAAGAGUUGAGAUGAAGCAGCGUAGCGAUCUUGUAAAGACCGUGAAAAUCAUGAAAUGAAAAGCAUUGACAAAAUCUUAAUCCCAAAAAUCUACAGAAAUUUAAAAAUCAGUGAAAAAAAAAGUCGGAUGAAAAAGCAGAAUCCAAUAAAAUUGCAUUUCUGAUUCAUCUGAUUUUGAAUCUGAAGAAGUGAAAGUGAAGGAGGUAUUUUGAUAUGCGUAAAGUUUUAGAAUUUCUGAAAAAAAUGUUCAUAUAUGUAUUUUAUAUAUACAUUUUAUAAGGUGUUUAUUUUUUUAGUUUUGUUGCUAAUGUGUUGAUAUGCAUCUGUUAUAUCUAAGAUUUUCGAUUUGUAUGUAUAAGAUAUUUGUAUUUGUUACUGAUAAGGUUUGUAAAAAGAAGAGAGUCGAUUGAAAAAGGAGAAUGUAGUAAAAUUUCAAGUCCCGUUGCAUCAAAUUAUGAAUCUGAACAAGAGAAAGUGGAGGAGGUAUGGUGAUAUUCGAAAAUUUUAUUAUUGAUAUGAAUUGUAUAUGUUAUAUACAAUAUAUUUUAAAUAUGUAUUUGAUAUUUAAAAUUUGUGUAUGAUAUUUGUAUUUGUCACUGGUAAGGAUUUUAUAGAUGUAUUGUUAUAUAAGUGUAAUAUGUUUUCUGAAAAUACAUUUGUUGGAUUCGAUUUUAAGUUGUAUUUGAUAGUCAUUAUAUUUUGAAUGUGAUAUGUAGCUCUUGUUUGUUGAAAUAUAUUUUUUACACACAUGAGACCAUUCCAAUGAGCAUAUGUAAUUCUAAAAUGCAUAUGACAUUUGUAUAAGAUAUUGUACUUAUCACUGACAAGGUUUUGUAUAUAUAUUUUUUAUUUAGAAGUGUAAUAUGUAUUCUGAAAAUACAUUUGUUAUAUAAUUUGUAUAUGUGUUGUUAUAUUUUUUUCUUGUUAAUUAAAUUUGUACAAUUCAUGUAUUCACAAAAUACGUAUGUGUUUGUUGAAAUAUAAUUGUAAUAUGUAUUCUGAAAAGACAUACAGUUUGGAUAUAUGUUUUUAUAUUUAUCACUAAGAAUUGUAUUUGAUGUUAAGUUAUAUUUGGUAGUCAUUAGAUUUUUAAUGUGAUAUCUAGUUCUUGUUUAUUGAAAUGUAUUUUUUACAUACAUAUUUAUAUUUGUUAUUCAUCAAGUACAAAAAACUUUUGCAUUAAAAAUGUUUUGAUAACUUAGAUAUUGACUGGUUAUGUAUUCACAAAAUACAUAUGAUACAUUUAUGAAUAGACUGUAUAAACUAAAUAUAAGAUGUAUUUCAUAAAUAUAUAUAAGACUCUGUUUGUAUAAAUUAAUUUUAAGAUGUAUUUCACAAAUAUAUAUAAGUCACUAUUUUGUCAUAUAAUUGUAUGUUUUUUGUUGUAUAGAUCAUGCGUGAUCAAAUCUACAUGGCACGAGUAUUGCUCAAAUUUGCUCUUCAUAUAGGAUGUCAUACGGUCAAAGACAUUGAAGACCGUAUUAAGUCAGUGCUAACGAAGAAUCAGUACAAGAUGUUUUGUACUAGAAGUAUAUUUGAUUUCUUCAUGUAGAAGAAAGAUUGUGUCGUUUAAACGCAAUUAGGGAGAUGCAUUAUGUCACUUGAAACUAAGAAAAGUUCUACAAGUGCCAUAGUCAUUCGUGCAAAGGGCACAAUUCUUCAUUUCACUUCUAGAGAGUUUUCUUUGGUGACUGAUUUGAAUUGUGUUACAAACAAGAAUGAUUUUGCAGGAAUUGUGGUUUAUAUAUGGUAAAAAUAUGCUGAGUGCCUUACUUUUGGUGACUGUGUUUCAAAUAUUGACUUUGAUCCAGAUUUUUUUCGCACAAGAUAUGUUUUAGUGUUGUGAAAUUAUGCUUUGAGAAAAGAAAAUGAGAAGGUUGAAAGUGAUGAUGAAGCACCAAUGAGGCCUCCUAGGGAUAUUGGGAUAACAGAAGAUACUGAAGUGUGUGAUAUUUGAAGUUUAUUUGUAUUUAUUGUAUUUGACUACAUUGAACUUUAGGAGGAUUAAGAUAGAGUUGAAAGAUGAUAUCUUAAUAUUUUUUAUGUGAUUGUUAGAUUUUUUAUCGUUAUUCUUCUAAAAUAGAAUUGUUCGAUCUUACUUUAUGUUAUUGUUACGCAUAUUUUGGUAUGAAUAUGUGAUUUUCAGUUUUGAUUAUAAUUUUCAGUAAUGAAUAUAUAUGUUUCAGUCAUCAUAUGUAUUUUUCAAUAAUGUAUUUGUAUUUUUCAU
rnacentral:lncRNA from 1 species